CCUACGGGAGGCAGCAGUGAGGAAUAUUGGUCAAUGGGCGGGAGCCUGAACCAGCCAAGCCGCGUGAGGGAAGAAGGUACAGCGUAUCGUAAACCUCUUUUGUCAGGGAACAAAGGCGGGGACUAGUCCCCGGAUGAGGGUACCUGAAGAAAAAGCAUCGGCUAACUCCGUGCCAGCAGCCGCGGUAAUACGGAGGAUGCGAGCGUUAUCCGGAUUUACUGGGUGUAAAGGGCGCGUAGGCGGGAUGGCAAGUCAGAUGUGAAAUCCAGGGGCUCAACCCCUGAACUGCAUUUGAAACUGUCGUUCUUGAGUGCGCGAGAGGUUGACGGAAUUCCUAGUGUAGCGGUGAAAUGCGUAGAUAUUAGGAGGAACACCAGUGGCGAAGGCGGUCAACUGGAGAGCAACUGACGCUGAGGCGCGAAAGCGUGGGGAGCAAACAGGAUUAGAUACCCCGGUAGUC
rnacentral:rRNA from 1 species